rnacentral:rRNA from 1 species
AAAGCCCUCGGCAUACUGCUCAGUAACACGUGGAUAACCUGCCCUGCGGUGGGAAAUAACCCCGGGAAACUGGGGAUAAUGUCCCAUAGACUACGGAUACUGGAAUGUUCUGUAGUUCAAAGAUUUAUCGCCACAGGAUGGGUCUGCGGCCGAUUAGGUAGUUGUUGGGGUAACGGCCCAACAAGCCUUUGAUCGGUACGGGUUGUGGGAGCAAGAGCCCGGAGAUGGAUUCUGAGACACGAAUCCAGGCCCUACGGGGCGCAGCAGGCGCGAAAACUUUACAAUGCGGGAAACCGUGAUAAGGGAACUCCGAGUGUCCGUAAAUGCGGACUGUCCGUAUGUUUAAAAAGCAUGCGAAGAAAGGGCCGGGCAAGACCGGUGCCAGCCGCCGCGGUAAUACCGGCGGCUCGAGUGGUGGCCACUAUUAUUGGGCUUAAAGCGUUCGUAGCUGGGUUGUUAAGUUUCUUGGGAAAUCUACCGGCUUAACCGAUAGGCGUCCAAGGGAUACUGGCAAUCUAGGGACCGGGAGAGGUGAGGGGUACUUCAGGGGUAGGAGUGAAAUCCUGUAAUCCUUGGGGGACCACCUGUGGCGAAGGCGCCUCACCAGAACGGCUCCGACAGUGAGGGACGAAAGCUGGGGGAGCAAA